AUUAUUUGUUAAUUUUACUUGAAUGCAAAUGACUGUUUUUCUGUCUGAUCUCAGAAGCUAAGCAGGGUUGGGCCUGGUUAGUACUUGAAUGGGAGACCACCUAGGAAGACCAGGUGCUAUAGGC
rnacentral:rRNA from 1 species